AUUUAAAUAUCUUAACUUUAAAGUUUAAUAGUGAAAAUAUUAAGAUGAUUAAUUAAAUAAUCUUUAAAUA
rnacentral:tRNA from 1 species